rnacentral:rRNA from 1 species
UACGUAGGGUGCGAGCGUUGUCCGGAAUUAUUGGGCGUAAAGAGCUCGUAGGCGGCCUGUCGCGUCGGAUGUGAAAGCCCGGGGCUUAACCCCGGGUCUGCAUUCGAUACGGGCAGGCUAGAGUUCGGUAGGGGAGAUCGGAAUUCCUGGUGUAGCGGUGAAAUGCGCAGAUAUCAGGAGGAAUACCGAUGGCGAAGGCAGGUCUCUGGGCUGAUACUGACGCUCAUGCACGAAAGCGUGGGGAGCAAACAGG